UACAAAGUCGGUAUAGCGCCGAAAAACAUACCAGCACUCGCCAGUAUGUUUAUAUUCAAUCCUUAACUUGAAUACCUAGAAAAUAUUUUAAAAUUUGUUAAGUUGACAUCUUCAAAUACAUAUAUUCAUUCUUACUGUAAACCUUGCCCUCUCUUCCAUAAUCUCAUAUCCAAUAAUUGGUAUUUGAAUUUCUCCUGGGACAUCAUUGCAAACAUAAUUUCCAUUUUCUUCUGUAAUUGUCAUACUACUGUGAGGUGUUAAGGUAACAUCUGAAGAAGUACUAUCACCAGAGCACUGAAAGUCUCGGAACCUGAAGAAACGGUUCAUUAUAAAAUUGUGCAAAUAUCUUCAACAUAUGGAAAUAGACUGAUUGAUAAAAUGAAGAUAGAUGAGAGAGAAAAUUAAAGUUUAUUUUGAUAUCAUUGAAAAAGCAAGUCUGGGCCUUGUAGCUGUGAGCUGUUACAACCACUAUAGUGGAUUUUGUAGUUAAUUAAGGAGCAUUGUAACAAAUCUUGAUCCCAUGUGUUAUGGGCCAUUGAUUGUAUCUGUCCUUGUUCGACCCAAAACUUUACAUUUCUUUACUUAUGGUCGUAAAGAAAGCAUGAAAGUGCCUUUUUCCAUUAGGAAUGAAAACAGUAUGUUGUUGCUAAAGAAAGGAUUUUAUGGCAAUGAACUGAUUGUCCAUUGCAGUUAAUUUUGAUGCUACUGAAACAACUGAUGCUUUUGAAGUCUUCGCCUUGCAACAUUAUGCAAUGGAUCUGAGAGGGAGACAACUGAAGAUCAAUUUGGAAACCAUUCAAACAACACUGCAGAGGAUAAAAACUUCGGACGCCAUUAAGUUAUGGAGCCUUGGUUGUAUCAGUCCUCAUUCGCUUCAGAAAGUAGCUAUACAUAUGUUCCCAAAGGAAUAUGAAAAUACUUUUUUCCUAUUGGGAAUUGUUUGUUACAGAAAGGAAAAAUUUAUGACAAUGAAUUGAUUCUUCAUGAGGAGGAAUUACAGUUAAUUGAAACAACCGAUGCUUUUGACGCAAGGGAGAGACAACUGGAAAUGAAUUUGGAAACCACCGAAACAACAGAUUGUCUGCAGUGAUAUCCCUCCUGGAUUUGGCUUGCGCAUUACACUUCUCUUCUAGGCUUUAUAUCGCCGCUUUCUGCACUUAAUUAAGUCUUCUCAGUAUUCGCUAUCAAGGUAGAGCAAGUGAAGACGGGCUGAUGCCAAAGAAUCUCACUCACAUCUUUUUGAAUGCGUUGUGGAAACUAUUUAAAGGCGGUCGGUUUCAGUUUACGAAUUAAGCCGAAUAACCAUAAUUGAACGCGCCUAUAAAACCUAUUAUCUAUGUAUCAUAAGUAUAGAAGAAGGAAUUUUCAUCUGUGGGUCUUCCGUCGAUGUCAUUUUGUCAUUCCGUGUUCGAUCUUCAAGAAGACGACAAGUCGCCUGUUUUGUUGUCCACAAACGAAGACAACGCCUGUUUCCAUUAAAUCCUAAUUUCGUGAACAUGGAGAGGGUAAAUAAAAAGGACUCGAAACAUGCGGAAGCAGAGCCCCACUCACGCUACUCUCUCUCUUGUGCUUGAAAAGGAGCCAUUUGUAGAAAGGGUUAUUAUUUAAACACAUGAAAUGAGAAGUGGAGCCCUGUUAAUUCUCCUUCCCCUUGGACCUGAACGGUACAAUUUUUAGAAAAUACGUGCAGUCCAAUUGAUACCAAUGUAUAUAAGGUUCCACAUGUGAUGUCUCCUGCUAUGUGGCUCAUUUCACCAGUGGUUUUAUUUUUCCUUUCUUAAGCAUCUACUGUUAGAGGUACUUCUCUAUUGUCAUCGCUUAUUAAUAAAACUCUAGGACCAUAGAGUAAUCAUUGAGAUCGUCCAACAUAUGAGAGAAAAUUGAAGUUCAGGAUGAUUGUAUUAAAGCAACCAAUAACUGAUGUUGUCUUUCCUGGAGUGUAUUCUGGAUUUGCUGUUUUCGUCUUCACCUUGCAACAUUAUGCAGUUAAUUUUCAACAGAUAAGCAAUAACAAGAGGAGAUUUACUUGAAUUCCACUAAAAGCACAAGUUUUCUUCUAUGGCAUUCCUCCUGGAUUUGGUUUGCUUUUCACACCUGCAAACUUUGGAACAUUACAGUCUAUAAUUAAUUAAGGUGAGAAUACU
rnacentral:lncRNA from 1 species